ensembl:snoRNA SNORD10 small nucleolar RNA, C/D box 10
AGUGUAGUGAUGAUAUCCCAUGCGUGUCAUCUGAUGCCCACGUCUCUCUCUGCCCUUGGCCUGCGCAGCCUGCGUCCUGCGGGUUGGGUUUGGCUAGAGCAGAGGAGUCUGGGAAAUGAUCUGACUGUCUAUCUGAAUACU